rnacentral:misc_RNA from 1 species
GAUCAAGAACGUAGCGAAAUGCGAUACGUAAUGUGAAUUGCAGAAUUCAGUGAAUCAUCGAGUCUUUGAACGCACAUUGCGCCCCCUGGUAUUCCGGGGGGCAUGCCUGUCCGAGCGUCAUUGCUGCCCUCAAGCACGGCUUGUGUGUUGGGCCUCCGUCCUCCUCCCGGGGGACGGGCCCGAAAGGCAGCGGCGGCACCGCGUCCGGUCCUCGAGCGUAUGGGGCUUCGUCACCCGCUCUUGUAGGCCCGGCCGGCGCUUGCCGACACAUCAAUCUUUUUUCCAGGUUGACCUCGGAUCAGGUAGGGAUACCCGCUGAACUUAAGCAUAUCAAUAAGCGGAGGA